rnacentral:rRNA from 1 species
GACGAACGCUGGCGGCGUGCUUAACACAUGCCAGUCGAACGGAAAGGCCCUGCUUUUGUGGGGUGCUCGAGUGGCGAACGGGUGAGUAACACGUGAGUAACCUUCCCUUGACUUUGGGAUAACUUCAGGAAACUGGGGCUAAUACCGGAUAGGAGCUCCUGCUGCAUGGUGGGGGUCGGAAAGUUUCGGCGGUUGGGGAUGGACGCGCGGCUUAUCAGCUUGUUGGUGGGGUAGUGGCUUACCAAGGCUUUGACGGGUAGCCGGCCUGAGAGGGUGACCGGCGACAUUGGGACUGAGAUACGGCCCAGACUCCUACGGGGGGCAGCAGUGGGGAAUAUUGCACAAUGGGCGGAAGCCUGAUGCAGCAACGCCGCGUGCGGGAUGACGGCCUUCGGGUUGUAAACCGCUUUCGCCUGUGACGAAGCGUGAGUGACGGUAAUGGGUAAAGAAGCACCGGCUAACUACGUG